GCGGCGGAGGUCCGGACGUCUCCGCCCGCUUUCCCCGAACCGGAGCGGAGGCGGGGCGGGGGCGCUGGCACCCUGGGACGGGCCACGGUUCUUGUGGCUCGGCUCGUGGAGGGUGCAUUGCAGACCUGGGGGACUGUCCGGUCUUCCUGGCUGAAUAUGAAGGCUGCUUACACCGAGAAGACCGGUGCCCACCAGCUGCCGGCCCCCUGACCAGUUUGAGGAGGGGUCUGAGAUCCUUCGCCUACGCUGAUCCUAACUCGCAGCGAUUAGCAGCAGAAUAGCAGCUCUGCCACCUUGUGGUGGCGCGAGGCAGCGCGCCCUCCUCCGAUUCCAGAAAGGUCCCCAUGACGCUGCAGCCUGAGGCAGGUUUUCAUUAUUCACCCUGGUGGGCAGAGCGACACUGGAAAGACAAAACAAACAAGACCACAAGCCGAUCUAGUGUUUCCUCCCUCUGGUUCAUUUCUGAGGAUCUGGUCGAUGCGGAUGCAGGAAAACAUUCUGCAGUUUCUCUUGCUAGGACGGUUUUUUUUUUUUUUUCUUUUAAAUCAAAACCUAGCCCUGCUUUCAAACCCUAGUUUAAACUCCACCUCCUUCAAGAUAACGUUUCUGACUCCUCCCCCGGACAUCUUUUGAAAUUCGUCUGUACACAGAUCCAACACACAGCAUGGACUAAUCUGCUGUCAUUUUUACAGUUAUUUCCUUGAGGUCCUUUGUGUCCAUAGACACCAUAGUGCUCAGCCACAGGCCAGGGAACAAAAAGAGCUCUUAAUUUCUAUUUCUAUUUCUUCUUCUUCUUCUCUUCAUUUGCAGUACUAAGGUUCUUUACACUGAGCUGUACCCCAGCUCUUAUUAUUAUUAUUAUUAUUAUUAUUAUUUUGCUAGGCUGUUCUUGGACUUGUGAUCCUCCUGUCUCAGUCUCCAGAGUAGCUGGAUUACAGGCCUGCAAGCUCUUGCUUCUUAAUUGAUUAAUUUCUAUAGAUACAACUCUGAGCCUUUGCUUAGAAAAACUUUCUAGAACUCUUAGUUCUUUGUGGGAAUCUAGAUAAUGAUCUAAUCUAAUGUGUCCUUGCACAAUAAGUAGUUUCACAAACCAGUUUCACAAGAGAACACCAAAACCACCCAGAGUGGGAUGAGGAAGUUUGAAGUUUGAAGCAGACUCCCAGAAGAAGGAGGAGAGUGACAAUGUGGAAAGGUCAAAGGAGGAAGAAUUGGUGGUGGUGGUGAUCCUCUAUCUCUGAGGUUGGAGAAAGGCAGCAUAGGCUCUAGAGCCAGCUUUAUGUCCAAACAUUUGCUGUGUGGCAUCGGGGAAGUUAAUGCUCCUCUCUGUGCCUCAGUUUUCUUAGGGCUUUGAAUUGAAUUUUUAUUUGUAAAGUGCUAGAAUAGCACCUGGCCAAAAUAAGUGUUAUAUAACUGUUUGUAAAUGAAUGGGGGAAAUGAUAUAUUCUGUGGGUUCCCUUCUGCACUGUUCUUUUGGGGUGAUGCCUGAGCCUUGGGUCAGGCAGGUCUGAUUGACUCUUAUCUCUGUCUAUUGCUGUGGACCUUGGGCAGAUCUCUCUUCUUUUUGGAGCCUCAGUUUUGUCAUCUGUGAGGUAGGGGUAAUUAUGUCUCUCUCCAAGACUGUUAUGUUACAGGUUUGGAAAAUGCCUGGUGCCUGAGGCAUAAUGAGCAGGAGCUAGAGUAUUACCUCGGAUGAGAGGAGCACCAUAGAAAGGGGAAUUGAGUUUCCAAAAUUUUUGAGGUUAAAAAAAGCGAUUGAAUUUGCCAAACAGCAAUAAGACCAGGUGAACAUACAGAGCUGGGGGCUGGGGAGGUGGGCCCUGGGCCUGGGCCAUGAGUCAUUAUCACAGCAUCUGAAACACCCAGGAAUGGCCCGUGCAUACUCUAGGAACAUUUUCUGCUCCAGGGCUGUGCUGAGGGUGUGGACCCUGUAGGGCUGGAUGCCAGGAGAGGUAGGCCCUCCUGCCCUCCUUCCCAGGAGGGGGCUGUGGCAGGAGAGGCUAGGUGCUGGCAGGUCUAGGAAACCUGUGGUUGUUGUAUGUGUGCAUGAGGGGCCUGUGUGUGGGAACAGCCCAGAGCCGUCCUGCCCCACCUGGUGAACUCCUAGGCCUGGCAUCUGCAGCUGCCAGCCCUGACUGAGGACACCCCAGAUCAGCUGUCAGCAAUUAUUGAAGGGUUGGGGGAGGGAGGGUUAUGAGAAUCCCACGGAUCUUAAUUCCCUUCAACUACAUAGGUGGAAAAGUACUAACUGGGCUGUAUAUUUCUUUGAGUUCUUUUCAAAGGGGAAGCUGGGUUGCGACAUCAACAAUAGGGUGUUGCAAUCCCCAACAUGUCGGGAAUCACACUUAGGUCCCCACACUUGACGGCUCUUGUCCUCUGUGCUUCAAAUCAGGCCAAGGACAGGGGCAUCUACCGCUAAGUAAUCUGUUAUUCAGGCUUCCAGACAAUCUGAGGCCCUGACAAACCACCUUUGGAUUUUGGGGAUCACAGAGGACUCUGGAAGCCUCCUUCCAUAUGCAAAUUUCCAGCAAUAGCAUCAAAGGUGGACCCUGUUGAGAAGACCCCAGAGUGGGACUGUGCCUCAAAAAUGCCAUAGAGUAUGAAGGGUCAUGAAGGUGCAAAUUUUAAUUGUCCCUGGGGAGAAGGGAAUGUGCGCUUAUUUUCUUCUUUUUUUGCUUCUCAGUACUUUCUGAUUUUUUUUUCUUAUUGUUUCUGGCAAGCACAUAUUGCUUUGUAAUAAAGAAAAAUAUUUUUAAAAUGUU